UCCAAUCUCGAUUUGAACCAAAUAUCUAAUCAAUUUUCAAACCAUUAACAAUCUCCAAGCAAAACUCACACCCCUAACCACACAUGCAUAUAUUGCCCUGCAUAUUCUUGCUCCUCUUCAUUGUCUUCUUCUCCCCUCUUGUGCUGAGAUUGAGAAGAUGGUCAUGAUUGUUGGCAAGCAGCUGCAGAAGCUGGUGGGCGAUCUCAAAUCGAAAUUGAAGAAGCCAUUGAAGUCGCAGAAACCUUACAGCAAGAUGGACAAGACUGACAGCAUGAGAGUGGAGAUCAAGAGCAGGAAGGCUCAGAAGCUUAUUGCUGAUACACUGAAGAUUGCUGACUCUCCCACUGGCUGCAGAAGCUAUGCUUUUUGAUUCAAUUUGUUCAUUCAUGAGGUUAGGAUUAUGAAGAAUUAUUAUGGGAGUUCCAUUUUGUAUCUCUUUUUGUUAUGAAGAUUCCAAGCCCCAAAUGGAUUUUAUUUUUAUUUUUGUUU